AUUGAACGCUGGCGGCAGGCCUAACACAUGCAAGUCGAACGAGUGGCGGACGGGUGCGUAAUGUCUGGGAACCUGCCCGAUGGAGGGGGAUAAAUACUGGAAACGGUAGCUAAUACCGCAUACCAUCGGAUGUGCCCAGAUGGGAUUAGCGAGUAGGUGGGGUAACGGCUCACCUAGGCGACGAUCCCUAGCUGGUCUGGGGGGAGGAACAGCCACACUGGAACUGAGACACGGGCCAGACGCCUACGUGAGGCAGCAGUGGGGAAUAUUGCACAAUGGGCGCAAGCCUGAUGCAGCCAUGCCGCGUGUAUGAAGAAGGCCUUCGGGUUGUAAAGUACUUUCAGCGAGGAGGCGUUACUCGCAGAAGAAGCACCGGCUAACUCCGUGCCAGCAGCCGCGGUAAUAC
rnacentral:rRNA from 1 species